AGAAUGAAAAAGUAUUGGACAAUGCAUGUCCACAAGGCACAUAGUUGAUAUGGCACCCACAUGUUUUUUUUUUUUUUUUUUUUU
rnacentral:ribozyme from 12 species